GGGGAAUCUUCCGCAAUGGACGAAAGUCUGACGGAGCAACGCCGCGUGAGUGAUGACGGCCUUCGGGUUGUAAAGCUCUGUUAAUCGGGACGAAAGGCCUUCUUGCGAAUAGUUAGAAGGAUUGACGGUACCGGAAUAGAAAGCCACGGCUAACUACGUGCCAGCAGCCGCGGUAAUACGUAGGUGGCAAGCGUUGUCCGGAAUUAUUGGGCGUAAAGCGCGCGCAGGCGGAUUGGUCAGUCUGUCUUAAAAGUUCGGGGCUUAACCCCGUGAUGGGAUGGAAACUGCCAAUCUAGAGUAUCGGAGAGGAAAGUGGAAUUCCUAGUGUAGCGGUGAAAUGCGUAGAUAUUAGGAAGAACACCAGUGGCGAAGGCGACUUUCUGGACGAAAACUGACGCUGAGGCGCGAAAGCCAGGGGAGCGAACGGGAUUAGAUACCCCGGUAGUCCUGGCCGUAAACGAUGGGUACUAGGUGUAGGAGGUAUCAACCCCUUCUGUGCCGGAGUUAACGCAAUAAGUACCCCGCCUGGGGAGUACGGUCGCAAGGCUG
rnacentral:rRNA from 1 species